rnacentral:rRNA from 1 species
GCGAUACAGGGUGACAGCCCCGUACACAAAAAUGCACAUAUUGUGAGCUCGAUGAGUAGGGCGGGACACGUGGUAUCCUGUCUGAAUAUGGGGGGACCAUCCUCCAAGGCUAAAUACUCCUGACUGACCGAUAGUGAACCAGUACCGUGAGGGAAAGGCGAAAAGAACCCCGGCGAGGGGAGUGAAAAAGAACCUGAAACCGUGUACGUACAAGCAGUGGGAGCACGCUUAGGGGGGUGACUGCGUACCUUUUGUAUAAUGGGUCAGCGACUUAUAUUCUGUAGCAAGGUUAACCGAAUAGGGGAGCCGAAGGGAAACCGAGUCUUAACUGGGCGUUAAGUUGCAGGGUAUAGACCCGAAACCCGGUGAUCUAGCCAUGGGCAGGUUGAAGGUUGGGUAACACUAACUGGAGGACCGAACCGACUAAUGUUGAAAAAUUAGCGGAUGACUUGUGGCUGGGGGUGAAAGGCCAAUCAAACCGGGAGAUAGCUGGUUCUCCCCGAAAGCUAUUUAGGUAGCGCCUCGUGAAUUCAUCUCCGGGGGUAGAGCACUGUUUCGGCAAGGGGGUCAUCCCGACUUACCAACCCGAUGCAAACUGCGAAUACCGGAGAAUGUUAUCACGGGAGACACACGGCGGGUGCUAACGUCCGUCGUGAAGAGGGAAACAACCCAGACCGCCAGCUAAGGUCCCAAAGUCAUGGUUAAGUGGGAAACGAUGUGGGAAGGCCCAGACAGCCAGGAUGUUGGCUUAGAAGCAGCCAUCAUUUAAAGAAAGCGUAAUAGCUCACUGGUCGAGUCGGCCUGCGCGGAAGAUGUAACGGGGCUAAACCAUGCACCGAAGCUGCGGCAGCGACGCUUAUGCGUUGUUGGGUAGGGGAGCGUUCUGUAAGCCUGUGAAGGUGUGCUGUGAGGCAUGCUGGAGGUAUCAGAAGUGCGAAUGCUGACAUAAGUAACGAUAAAGCGGGUGAAAAGCCCGCUCGCCGGAAGACCAAGGGUUCCUGUCCAACGUUAAUCGGGGCAGGGUGAGUCGACCCCUAAGGCGAGGCCGAAAGGCGUAGUCGAUGGGAAACAGGUUAAUAUUCCUGUACUUGGUGUUACUGCGAAGGGGGGACGGAGAAGGCUAUGUUGGCCGGGCGACGGUUGUCCCGGUUUAAGCGUGUAGGCUGGUUUUCCAGGCAAAUCCGGAAAAUCAAGGCUGAGGCGUGAUGACGAGGCACUACGGUGCUGAAGCAACAAAUGCCCUGCUUCCAGGAAAAGCCUCUAAGCAUCAGGUAACAUCAAAUCGUACCCCAAACCGACACAGGUGGUCAGGUAGAGAAUACCAAGGCGCUUGAGAGAACUCGGGUGAAGGAACUAGGCAAAAUGGUGCCGUAACUUCGGGAGAAGGCACGCUGAUAUGUAGGUGAAGUCCCUUGCGGAUGGAGCUGAAAUCAGUCGAAGAUACCAGCUGGCUGCAACUGUUUAUUAAAAACACAGCACUGUGCAAACACGAAAGUGGACGUAUACGGUGUGACGCCUGCCCGGUGCCGGAAGGUUAAUUGAUGGGGUCAGCGCAAGCGAAGCUCUUGAUCGAAGCCCCGGUAAACGGCGGCCGUAACUAUAACGGUCCUAAGGUAGCGAAAUUCCUUGUCGGGUAAGUUCCGACCUGCACGAAUGGCGUAAUGAUGGCCAGGCUGUCUCCACCCGAGACUCAGUGAAAUUGAACUCGCUGUGAAGAUGCAGUGUACCCGCGGCAAGACGGAAAGACCCCGUGAACCUUUACUAUAGCUUGACACUGAACAUUGAGCCUUGAUGUGUAGGAUAGGUGGGAGGCUUUGAAGUGUGGACGCCAGUCUGCAUGGAGCCGACCUUGAAAUACCACCCUUUAAUGUUUGAUGUUCUAACGUGGACCCGUGAUCCGGGUUGCGGACAGUGUCUGGUGGGUAGUUUGACUGGGGCGGUCUCCUCCUAAAGAGUAACGGAGGAGCACGAAGGUUGGCUAAUCCUGGUCGGACAUCAGGAGGUUAGUGCAAUGGCAUAAGCCAGCUUGACUGCGAGCGUGACGGCGCGAGCAGGUGCGAAAGCAGGUCAUAGUGAUCCGGUGGUUCUGAAUGGAAGGGCCAUCGCUCAACGGAUAAAAGGUACUCCGGGGAUAACAGGCUGAUACCGCCCAAGAGUUCAUAUCGACGGCGGUGUUUGGCACCUCGAUGUCGGCUCAUCACAUCCUGGGGCUGAAGUAGGUCCCAAGGGUAUGGCUGUUCGCCAUUUAAAGUGGUACGCGAGCUGGGUUUAGAACGUCGUGAGACAGUUCGGUCCCUAUCUGCCGUGGGCGCUGGAGAACUGAGGGGGGCUGCUCCUAGUACGAGAGGACCGGAGUGGACGCAUCACUGGUGUUCGGGUUGUCAUGCCAAUGGCACUGCCCGGUAGCUAAAUGCGGAAGAGAUAAGUGCUGAAAGCAUCUAAGCACGAAACUUGCCCCGAGAUGAGUUCUCCCUGACCCUUUAAGGGUCCUGAAGGAACGUUGAAGACGACGACGUUGAUAGGCCGGGUGUGUAAGCGCAGCGAUGCGUUGAGCUAACCGGUACUAAUGAACCGUGAGGCUUAACCUU